UACGUAGGGGGCAAGCGUUGUCCGGAAUUAUUGGGCGUAAAGAGCGCGUAGGCGGCCCUGUAAGUCCGCUGUGAAAGUCAAGGGCUCAACCCUUGGAUGCCGGUGGAUACUGCAGGGCUAGAGUCCGGAAGAGGCGAGUGGAAUUCCUGGUGUAGCGGUGAAAUGCGCAGAUAUCAGGAGGAACACCGAUGGCGAAGGCAGCUCGCUGGGACGGUACUGACGCUGAGGCGCGAAGCGUGGGAGCAAACAGG
rnacentral:rRNA from 1 species